AAUCUUAAAUUUUAUUUUAAGAUAAGGUAAGAGAAAAUAAUGAUAUUAUCUUACUAUUAGUGUCGUCUAAAUUUGGUGCCAGAAGACUCGGUAAGACCUUAGACGCAAACGUUAAUCGUCAUAAUCAGGCGUAAAGGGUGUGUAGGCGGCUUUUAAAAUAAAAUAUAAUUAUAGCUAAUGAAUUAUAUUCCAAUAAAAGCUAGAAUCUAAAAGAGGGUAAGCUAAACAACAUAAUUAAUUGGGACUGACAACUUAUAAUAAUGUGGAGUACUAAAGGUUAAAGCUAUUUAUCUACUUAAGAUUGACGCUGAGAAACGAAGGGGAGAAUAAGAAACUUAGAUUAGAGACCUAAUUAUCUCUCUCAGUCAACGAUGAAUGGUAGUUAUUAAAAUAAAAUAAAAUUAUUAGUGACGAGGUUAACACGAUGACCAUUCCGCCUUGUUAGUAAGACUGCAAAGUUGAAAACAAAAAAAUUAGUCGGUCUUGAAGCAAACGAAGUGAAGCAUGUUAUUUAAUUCG
rnacentral:rRNA from 1 species